ACCCAAAAGAUCGAAUGGGGAGAUUCAUCGCCAGCUUUAUCGGCUUGCGUGCCGCUCGCGAUGCUCGUUUUUGAGGCGUGUAACAGCGUUUUAAUAAGCGGGCACGCGGUGGCUGCGUAAUUUUUGUCCGGUCAAAGUCGGUGUGCACUUCUCCCCUAGUAGGACGUCGCGACCCGUUGAGUGUCGGCCUAAGGCCCGCUGUGGUCGACUGCCGGUUUCGGGUGCUUUCGGGCAUUCGAUCAAUCGGUAGACCCGCGGUCGCCCGGCCGACUGCUCGACGGUAAAAAAUUGUUUGAAAGCAUUAAUGGUAUCGAGCCGCAUAAUUCGAAUGCGUCCUUUUCGGCUCGUCGGCAGGUGAGCCUCGUCUCGGAUUUUACGGACCUGGUGCCGUUGUCGAGCGUGGCUAGCCUGUUAGCCGGCGAUGUCCUCGGACGGGCUCUAUGAAGAAAAAGUUUUAUGCUUUUUCUUUUGUUACCAGUCAGCGACGCUACUGCUUUGGGUACUUUCAGGACCCGUCUUGAAACACGGACCAAGGAGUCUAACAUGUGCGCAAGUCAUUGGGAUUUGUUUUGCAAUAAACCUAAAGGCGCAAUGAAAGUGAAGGUCCGCUCUGAUGCGCGACCGAGGGAGGAUGGCUCCGGUUUUUUUUUAAGCCGGAGCUCGCACUCCCGGGGCGUCUCGCGCUCAUCGCGAGCUGAGGCGCACCCAGAGCGUACACGUUGGGACCCGAAAGAUGGUGAACUAUGCCUGGUCAGGACGAAGUCAGGGGAAACCCUGAUGGAGGUCCGUAGCGAUUCUGACGUGCAAAUCGAUCGUCGGAACUGGGUAUAGGGGCGAAAGACUAAUCGAACCAUC
rnacentral:rRNA from 1 species